rnacentral:lncRNA from 1 species
AUAUUUCAUUAAGUGUAAGUUAUUACUCAUUCUUUGUUUAAGGCCUCAUGAGACUGUUACCUAAAGUAUGGAAUAUUUUUAUUAACUCUCAUGCCAACAAGUCAGGAACAUGGUAGGAAACAGCAUUUCAUCACUUGGAGAAGGAAGACUUCAUCAGAAUAAUCACAAACAAUACAUGGUAUAGAGUUUGAGAGCUGCUAUUCCCAUGCACCAAGGAAAAGGAGAUGCUGCAGAAACUGAUAUUUAAUUGGAAGCCUCCUGCAGAGAGACAAAAUUCUUCUGGAAAGAGGGCCAGCAAAGUCAAAGAAGCAGUUCUUAAUAUAAGGAAUACAGAUACUUGUCUUUUCAUCACAAAAAUAACCAAUAAGAAAAAAAGGGUUUUAAAG